GAUCCUGGCUCAGAUUGAACGCUGGCGGAAUGCUUACACAUGCAAGUCGAACGGUAGAGGGGGCAACCCCUUGAGAGUGGCGAACGGGUGAGUAAUAUAUCGGAACGUGCCCAGUCGUGGGGGAUAACGUAGCGAAAGUUACGCUAAUACCGCAUACGAUCUAUGGAUGAAAGCGGGGGAUCGCAAGACCUCGCGCGAUUGGAGCGGCCGAUAUCAGAUUAGGUAGUUGGUGAGGUAAAGGCUCACCAAGCCGACGAUCUGUAGCUGGUCUGAGAGGACGACCAGCCACACUGGGUCUGAGACACGGCCCAGACUCCUACGGGAGGCAGCAGUGGGGAAUUUUGGACAAUGGGCGCAAGCCUGAUCCAGCAAUGCCGCGUGCAGGAUGAAGGCCUUCGGGUUGUAAACUGCUUUUGUACGGAACGAAACGGUGAGCUCUAAUACAGUUUGCUAAUGACGGUACCGUAAGAAUAAGCACCGGCUAACUACGUG
rnacentral:rRNA from 1 species